rnacentral:rRNA from 3 species
GGACCGUGGCUUUUCCGAUUCGUCGGUUUUGCCUAGGGAAGUCUCGUGAACCUUAUCACUUAAAGGAAGGAGAAGUCGUAACAAGGUUUCCGUAGGUGAACCUGCGGAAGGAUCAUUC